CUGCUGCCUCCCGUAGGAGUUCGGACCGUGUCUCAGUUCCAAUGUGGGGGACCUUCCUCUCAGAACCCCUACGCAUCGUCGGCUUGGUGGGCCGUUGCCCCACCAACUACCUAAUGCGCCGCAUGCCCAUCCAUGACCGGGGUCGCCCCCUUUGACCGGCAGGGGAUGUCCCCUCCCGGCAUUAUGUUGUAUUAGGCGGGAUUUCUCCCGGUUAUCCAUCUGUCACGGCCAGGUUGCAUACGUGUUACUCACCCGUGCGCCGGUCGCCGGCGG
rnacentral:rRNA from 1 species